GGUAACAGGGAGCUUGCUCCGCUGACGAGUGGCGAACGGGUGAGAGGGGUAGGGAACGUACCCAGAAGUGGGGGAUAACGUAGCGCCUAUUACGCUAAUACCGCAUACGAUCCACGGAUGAAAGUAGGGGACCUUCGGGCCUUAUGCUUUUGGAGCGGCCGAUAUCUGAUUAGCUAGUUGGUGAGGUAAAGGCUCACCAAGGCGACGAUCAGUAGCUGGUCUGAGAGGACGACCAGCCACACUGGAACUGAGACACGGUCCAGACUCCUACGGGAGGCAGCAGUGGGGAAUUUUGGACAAUGGGCGCAAGCCUGAUCCAGCAAUGCCGCGUGAGUGAAGAAGGCCUUCGGGUUGUAAAGCUCUUUUGUCAGGGAAGAAACGGCUGUGGCUAAUAUCCACGGCUAAUGACGGUACCUGAAGAAUAAGCACCGGCUAACUACGUGCCAGCAGCCGCGGUAAUACGUAGGGUGCAAGCGUUAAUCGGAAUUACUGGGCGUAAAGCGUGCGCAGGCGGUUUUGUAAGUCUGACGUGAAAUCCCCGGGCUCAACCUGGGAAUUGCGUUGGAGACUGCAAGGCUAGAAUCUGGCAGAGGGGGGUAGAAUUCCACGUGUAGCAGUGAAAUGCGUAGAGAUGUGGAGGAACACCGAUGGCGAAGGCAGCCCCCUGGGUCAAGAUUGACGCUCAUGCACGAAAGCGUGGGGAGCAAACAGGAUUAGAUACCCUGGUAGUCCACGCCCUAAACGAUGUCUACUAGUUGUCGGGUUUUAAUUAACUUGGUAACGCAGCUAACGCGUGAAGUAGACCGCCUGGGGAGUACGGUCGCAAGAUUAAAACUCAAAGGAAUUGACGGGGACCCGCACAAGCGGUGGAUGAUGUGGAUUAAUUCGAUGCAACGCGAAAAACCUUACCUACCCUUGACAUGUCCGGAAUGCCGAAGAGAUUUGGCAGUGCCCGAAAGAGAACCGUAACACAAAAAAUGCAUGGCUGUCGUCAGCUCGUGUCGUGAGAUGUUGGGUUAAGUCCCGCAACGAGCGCAACCCUUGUCAUUAGUUGCUACAUUUAGUUGAGCACUCUAAUGAGACUGCCGGUGACAAACCGGAGGAAGGUGGGGAUGACGUCAAGUCCUCAUGGCCCUUAUGGGUAGGGCUUCACACGUCAUACAAUGGUACAUACAGAGGGCCGCCAACCCGCGAGGGGGAGCUAAUCCCAGAAAGUGUAUCGUAGUCCGGAUCGUAGUCUGCAACUCGACUACGUGAAGUUGGAAUCGCUAGUAAUCGCGGAUCUUAAAAGGCGCGGUGAAUACGUUCCCGGGUCUUGUACACACCCCCAAAAGGAGCCAUGGGAGCGGGUUUUACCAGAAGUAGGUAGC
rnacentral:rRNA from 1 species